ACGGAAGGCAGCAGUGAGGAAUAUUGGUCAAUGGGCGGAAGCCUGAACCAGCCAAGUCGCGUGAAGGAUGAAGGUAUUAUGUAUUGUAAACUUCUUUAGCCAGGGGGCAAUAAGGCGUAUGUAUACGCCGAUGAGAGUACCUGGAGAAUAAGGAUCGGCUAACUCCGUGCCAGCAGCCGCGGUAAUACGGAGGAUCCGAGCGUUAUCCGGAUUUAUUGGGUUUAAAGGGUGCGCAGGCGGCUUUUUAAGUCAGUGGUUAAAUCGGGACGCUCAACGUCAUCACGCCAUUGAUACUGGAGAGCUUGAUUGCGGUCGAGGUUUGCGGAAUUCGUCGUGUAGCGGUGAAAUGCAUAGAUAUGACGAAGAACACCGAUUGCGUAGGCAGCAGACCAGGCCGUAAAUGACGCUCAUGCACGAAAGUGCGGGGAUCGAACAGGAUUAGAUACCCUGGUA
rnacentral:rRNA from 1 species